rnacentral:rRNA from 1 species
GAUGAACGCUAGCGGCAGGCUUAAUACAUGCAAGUCGAGGGGCAGCAGGACUGUAGCAAUACAGUUGCUGGCGACCGGCAAACGGGUGCGGAACACGUACGCAACCUUCCUUUAAGUGAGGGAUAGCCCAGGGAAACUUGGAUUAAUACCCCGUAAUAUUUGAGAGUGGCAUCACUUUUUAAUUAUAGCUCCGGCGCUUAAAGAUGGGCGUGCGACUGAUUAGGUAGUUGGCGGGGUAACGGCCCACCAAGCCUGCGAUCAGUAACUGGUGUGAGAGCACGACCAGUCACACGGGCACUGAGACACGGGCCCGACUCCUACGGGAGGCAGCAGUAAGGAAUAUUGGUCAAUGGACGCAAGUCUGAACCAGCCAUGCCGCGUGGAGGAUGAAGGUCCUCUGGACUGUAAACUUCUUUUAUCUGGGAAGAAACCCAUAUUUUCUAGGGUGGUUGACGGUACCAGAUGAAUAAGCACCGGCUAACUCCGUGCCAGCAGCCGCAGUAACAC